rnacentral:sRNA from 1 species
ACAGUCAAUCGCCGAGAUUAAAUACUUCAGUUCUCAUGUAGAUUACCGUUUGAAAGGUAUCGCUUUCGAGUUGCUUGCGUAUGCAUUGCAAUAUG